UUCUUUUGUUUUAUAUAUAAGGUCUAACCUGCCCAAUGAUUUAUUUAAUGGCCGCGGUAUAUUAACUGUGCUAAGGUAGCAUAAUCAUUUGUCUUUUAAUUAAAGGCUAGAAUGAACGGUUGGACGAGGUAUUUUCUUUCUUAGUUUUAAUUUAUGAAUUUAAUUUUUUAGUUAAAAAGCUAAAAUUUAUUUGUGGGACGAGAAGACCCUAUAGAUCUUUAUAUGUUAUACUAUUAUAUAUUUUAGAAUAUUAAUUGUUGUAAUAAUAUAUUAUAUUUGAUUGGGGUGAUUAUAGAAUUUUAAUUAACUUCUAUUUAAGUUUUUCGUUAAUUAAUGUAUAUUUGAUCCAAUUUUAUUGAUUAAAAGAUUAAGUUACCUUAGGGAUAACAGCGUAAUUCUUUUGGAGAGCUCAAAUCGAUAAAAGAGUUUGCGACCUCRAUGUUGGAUUAAAAUAAGUUUUAGGGUGCAGAAGCUCAAAAACUAGGUCUGUUCGACCUUUAAUUUUUUACAUGAUCUGAGUUCA
rnacentral:rRNA from 1 species